rnacentral:rRNA from 1 species
UACAGAGGUCUCAAGCGUUGUUCGGAUUCAUUGGGCGUAAAGGGUGCGUAGGCGGUGAGGUAAGUUGGAUGUGAAAUCCCGGGGCUUAACCCCGGAACUGCAUUCAAUACUGCCUUGCUAGAGUACUGGAGAGGAGAUUGGAAUUCACGGUGUAGCAGUGAAAUGCGUAGAUAUCGUGAGGAAGACCAGUGGCGAAGGCGAAUCUCUGGACAGUUACUGACGCUGAGGCACGAAGGCUAGGGGAGCAAACGGG